CCUACGGGGAGCAGCAGUGAGGAAUAUUGGUCAAUGGGCGUAAGCCUGAACCAGCCAAGUCGCGUGAAGGAUGACUGCCCUAUGGGUUGUAAACUUCUUUUAUAUGGGAAUAAAAUGUUCCACGUGUGGGAUUUUGUAUGUACCAUAUGAAUAAGGAUCGGCUAACUCCGUGCCAGCAGCCGCGGUAAUACGGAGGAUCCGAGCGUUAUCCGGAUUUAUUGGGUUUAAAGGGUGCGUAGGCGGUCCGUUAAGUCAGCGGUAAAAUUGCGGGGCUCAACCCCGUCGAGCCGUUGAAACUGGCAGACUUGAGUUGGCGAGAAGUACGCGGAAUGCGCGGUGUAGCGGUGAAAUGCAUAGAUAUCGCGCAGAACUCCGAUUGCGAAGGCAGCGUACCGGCGCCAGACUGACGCUGAGGCACGAAAGCGUGGGGAUCGAACAGGAUUAGAUACCCGAGUAGUC
rnacentral:rRNA from 1 species